AGUGGUUGAUCGUGAGUUUUAUGGUGAGGAUAUGAGCAAUUCAAAUCCUUUUCCGGCUCUCGAGACGCUGCACAUUGAGGACAUGUAUGAAUGGGAAGAGUGGAAGAUUUGUGGGUAUGAAUUCCCUCAUCUGCGCGAACUUUCUAUUGUUAGGUGUCCCAAACUGGUGGGAACAUUGCCCAGCCAUUUGUAUUCAUUGCAAAAGCUUGAUAUUAUAGAAUGUUGUGAAUUGGUGGUUUCAUUGGGAAGCCUUCCGGUGAUAUCUCGCUUACGCUUAGUAAUCAAUGGAUGCAGAAAGGUUGAACUGGGUGGAGGCUUUAGCUCGGCAAACAUCUUGAAUGUAACGGGACCAUUUUUAUUUCGACCAGAAGAGUUAAGAAAGUUAGAAAGAUUAACUAUUGGUUCUAAUUUAAUUAUCGGAUAUUCCUCUGAUCUGCAUUGAGAGCUUGAUGAGGGCAUCGCUGAAAAUGAAGA
rnacentral:misc_RNA from 1 species